rnacentral:rRNA from 1 species
UACGGAGGGUGCAAGCGUUGUUCGGAUUUACUGGGCCUAAAGCGCGCGCAGGUGGAUGGACAAGUCGGAAGUGAAAUCUUGAGGCUCAACCUCGAGGCUGCUCCCGAAACUGUUCGUCUAGGGACUGGUAGAGGCUGGUAGAAUUCCCGGUGUAGCGGUGGAAUGCGUAGAGAUCGGGAAGAAUACCCGUGGCGAAGGCGGCCAGCUGGGCCAGGUCCGACACUGAGGCGCGAAAGCGUGGGGAGCAAACAGG